rnacentral:tRNA from 2 species
GGUGAGGUGGCCGAGUUGGUUAUGGCGCCAGGUUAAGGUCACCUUAACGGCAUUCCUGGUGGGGCAACCCGCGCGAGUUCAAGUCUCGUCCUCAUCA